rnacentral:rRNA from 1 species
UACGUAGGUGGCAAGCGUUGUCCGGAAUUAUUGGGCGUAAAGCGCGCGCAGGCGGUCUUUUAAGUCUGAUGUGAAAGCCCACGGCUCAACCGUGGAGGGUCGUUGGAAACUGGGGGACUUGAGUGCAGGAGAGAAGAGUGGAAUUCCACGUGUAGCGGUGAAAUGCGCAGAUAUUAGGAGGAACACCGGUGGCGAAGGCGCCACUCUGGGCCGAAACUGACGCUGAGGAGCGAAAGCGUGGGUAGCAAACAGG